GAUGAACGCUAGCGGCAGGCUUAAUACAUGCAAGUCGAGGGGCAGCAGCUCUGUAGCAAUACAGAGGCUGGCGACCGGCAAACGGGUGCGGAACACGUACACAACCUUCCUUUAAGUGGGGAAUAGCCCGGGGGAAACCCGGAUUAAUACCCCGUAACAUUAUGAAGUGGCAUCACUUUAUUAAUUAUAGCUCAGGCGCUUAAUGAUGGGUGUGCGGCUGAUUAGAUAGUUGGCGGGGUAACCGGCCCACCAAGUCUGCGAUCAGUAACUGGUGUGAGAGCACGACCAGUCACACGGGCACUGAGACACGGGCCCGACCUCCUACGGGAGGCAGCAGUAAGGAAUAAUUGGUCAAUGGACGCAAGUCUGAACCAGCCAUGCCGCGUGGAGGAUGAAGGUCCUCU
rnacentral:rRNA from 1 species